rnacentral:tRNA from 1 species
GCCUCAUUAGCUCAGGGGCAGAGCGUCUGUCUUGUAAACAGAAGGCCACUGGUUCGAUUCCAGUAUGAGGCA